GUGAGGAAUUUUCCGCAAUGGGCGAAAGCCUGACGGAGCAAUGCCGCGUGAAGGAUGAAGGCCUAUGGGUUGUAAACUUCUUUUCUCAGAAAAGAAUUAUGACGGUAUCUGAGGAAUAAGCAUCGGCUAACUCUGUGUCAGCAGCCGCGGUAAGACAGAGGAUGCAAGCGUUAUCCGGAAUGAUUGGGCGUAAAGCGUCUGUAGGUUGUUUAAAAAGUAUUCUGUCAAAGAUUAGGGCUUAACCCUAGAUAGGCAGAAUAAACUUUUAAGCUAGAGUUUGGUAGAGGCAGAGGGAAUUCCCGGUGGAGCGGUGAAAUGCGUAGAUAUCGGGAGGAACACCAAAGGCGAAGGCACUCUGCUGGGCCAAUACUAACACUGAGAGACGAAAGCGAGGGGAGCAAAUGGGAUUAGAUACCCUAGUAGUCC
rnacentral:rRNA from 1 species